GACGAACGCUGGCGGCGUGCUUAACACAUGCAAGUCGAACGGAAAGGCCCUGCUUUUGUGGGGUGCUCGAGUGGCGAACGGGUGAGUAACACGUGAGUAACCUGCCCUUGACUUUGGGAUAACUUCAGGAAACUGGGGCUAAUACCGGAUAGGAGCUCCUGCUGCAUGGUGGGGGUUGGAAAGUUUCGGCGGUUGGGGAUGGACUCGCGGCUUAUCAGCUUGUUGGUGGGGUAGUGGCUUACCAAGGCUUUGACGGGUAGCCGGCCUGAGAGGGUGACCGGCCACAUUGGGACUGAGAUACGGCCCAGACUCCUGCGGGAGGCAGCAGUGGGGAAUAUUGCACAAUGGGCGGAAGCCUGAUGCAGCAACGCCGCGUGCGGGAUGACGGCCUUCGGGUUGUAAACCGCCUUCGCCUGUGACGAAGCGUGAGUGACGGUAAUGGGUAAAGAAGCACCGGCUAACUACGUG
rnacentral:rRNA from 1 species